CACGUAGGCGGCUAGGUAAGUCUGAUGUGAAAGCCCUGGACUCAAUCCAGGAAGUGCAUUGGAUACUGCUUAGCUAGAAUGCAGGAGGGGUAAGCGGAAUUCCAGGUGUAGAGGUGAAAUUCGUAGAUAUCUGGAGGAACAACGGUGGCGAAGGCGGCUUACUGGACUGAUAUUGACGCUGAGGUGCGAAAGUGGUGGGGAGCAAACG
rnacentral:rRNA from 1 species